AUCAUAUUGCCUUUAUUUAUCUAAGUAGAGGUGACAUUGGUGUUCUUAAUUUGUAUCUUCUACAUGUAAAAUGGCAACCCUUGUAUAAUAUAAUUAAUAUGCUUCAGUUCCUGUGAUAAAAUUAAAACAUGGAAGUAAUAUAAAUUGAAAUGUGAAAUUAAUCAUAAUAUUGAUAAGAUUAUCAUGUGUUAAUGAAAUUAUAGGCUUAGAAAUUAUAUAUCAUUUUUUUUUGAAAAAGCCAAAAUGAUAUAUAUUAACACAAAACAGCCUCCCCUGCACAAGACGUACCGAGGUAGACUAAAUAAUUACAAGAGAGUCAGAGAGAUACAAUCAAAAUAAAAUCAUACAAGGCCCAAACACAACAAU
rnacentral:lncRNA from 1 species